rnacentral:tRNA from 1 species
UAAAGGGUAGUAUAGUGGAGGUACGGAGAAUUUUGGGUUCUCAAGCAUAGGUUCAAUUCCUAUCUUUUUA